rnacentral:lncRNA from 1 species
CUGAUUUGCUUUUGUCUUUUUCCAUCAGAGUACCUGUUUCUAAAUAGAAUGCUGCCUAUUCACCUUGGAAUGGCCAUCUAUACACCAAACAAUGUUUUGUUGAUCAGCAAAGAACUUAGCAAUGAAAACCAGCAGCCUACAAUCCCAGUGAAACCCAUGGUUGCAUCCACCAAAGAGAAAAACAGGAGUUCCUUCAAAGAAUGUUUC